rnacentral:ncRNA from 1 species
CCCGUCCGGGUCCGUGGUUGCGCCGGGUACGGCGUCCCUUCGCUGGGGCGCCCGUUCGGCAAGCCGAUGCCAGCCGCAGGCGAAACGGCCCACGUAAGGCGACUUUUCGUCGACCGAUCACGGUGCGGCUUAGAGGUAAGUCCUGCCUCGCGGAGGGACCCGAUGUCCCUCGGUCGCGGGAGAAGGGCAGUAGUCGCGCUCAAGCGCGGCGGGCCCCUCAGCAGGCGGAUGUGGGGACGAAGACCAGGUCGGCCGGACGGG